ACAAAGGAAGAAAAGAAAAACAAAAACCCUAAGUGGAGAAAUUCAAGGAAAAAUUGGUGAAAAUUCAAGGAAACAAGUGACAAAAGGUAAAAUUUCUUGAUUUUGACUUGUGAUAUACCUUUCCCAUGCAUUUCUCCUCAUUUUUCAUGGUUAAAUUACAUGUUUUCAUGAUGAAUUCAUGGCUGGUUGGAAUGGGUAUGGAGAGAGAAUGAUGUUAGAUUGAUUUAAUUCUAAGUUAUGUUAGUGUUUUUAGUUAGUUAAGCAUGUUUGGAAACAAAACAACAAGAAAAGAAUCCAUUUUCCCCAUGAACCUUCAAUGGCCGAACCCUAUGUGAAGUGUAGAAGUAAUGAAUUGAUUUUGUGAUCAAGUGAAUUGGUUGAAAAAUUGAUGAAAUGAUGAUUUAUAGUGAGAAAAUGGAAUGGGAAAAUUUUUAGUGAUAGUGCACCACAAUGGCGAAAAUUUUCAAGAAGAAUUGUGAGGGUUGUUAGGCUGAAUUUUAGAUUAUUGGAAUUGUAUUUAGUGAAUUGAAAUAUUAGAAAUGAAAUGGAGCAAUUUGGAGCCAAAUCGGACACAAUUGUCAUUUAAUCGAGUAAUAGGCCGAAUUAGGUCAGCACCGCAUUUAAGCGGUAGUCGGAUAAGUUGAUAUCAUAUCAUGCAUAUACACCGAGCCUGAAUUGAUUGUAUAAUGGCCAAGCAUUGAUGUGGUGAAAUAUGUAUUGUACAUUGUGGAUAGGUGGUGAGCAAAUUACACUGGUUGUCACGAUCCGAAACUCCCAUCGGGCCCGUGACAACUGCCGCGACGUCUCGAUAGGCACUUAUUACCCCGAAUGCUGCUCGAAACCCCGCAAGGCUUAGCAUCAGCUUCCACAUCUCCCCGGUGAGUGACAGUUAUUAAAUCUCACAUUUCAAGAAAUCAUAAGUCGUUUCCAAAUCAAAACAAUAAAAUAUAUUUUUUUGGCUCACAAGGGCAUUUUCGUCAUUUUUCUUCAAAAAUACCGAAACCCCCCAAAAACAUGGUGUAAAAGAUAAAUAUGUUCAUACAUACUUUAAAUCAGAUAACUGAAGUAUAAAAUUACUUUUACAGUGACACGUGAGCCCCCAACUGACCAAGAAGGUGUAGGGCUACGAACCCUUACUUUCUAAGAUACAACUCCGAUAUUAAUUCUCGUCUUAAUCAACUAUCAACAAACUGUCCUAAGCUUGAAAAAUGGAUAGGAAGAAGGGUGAGAUUAUAAAUACAUAAUCCCAGUGAGUAAACAGACAUCAUCUAAACUAUCUAAAGGCGAGUAAAGAGAGACAGUUAAAAAUAAUUC
rnacentral:lncRNA from 1 species